AAAGGAAUAGACGGGGACCCGCACAAGCGGUGGAGCAUGUGGUUUAAUUCGACGCAACGCGAAGAACCUUACCUGGACUAGAAUGCGAGGGAAUGUUGGGUAACGCCAACAGCCGGUUUACCGGCCCGAAGCAAGGUGCUGCAUGGCUGUCGUCAGCUCGUGUCGUGAGAUGUUGGGUUAAGUCCCGCAACGAGCGCAACCCUUAUCAACAGUUGCCAUCAUUAAGUUGGGAACUCUGUUGAGACUGCCGUUGAUAAAACGGAGGAAGGUGGGGAUGAUGUCAAGUCAUCAUGGCCUUUAUGUUCAGGGCUACACACGUGCUACAAUGGACGGUACAGAACGUUGCUAUCCCGCGAGGGGGAGCUAAUCGCGAAAACCGUUCUCAGUUCGGAUUGGAGUCUGCAACUCGACUCCAUGAAGUUGGAAUCGCUAGUAAUCGCAAAUCAGCAUGUUGCGGUGAAUACGUUCCCGGGUCUUGUACACACCGCCCGU
rnacentral:rRNA from 1 species